rnacentral:rRNA from 1 species
CCUACGGGUGGCAGCAGUGAGGAAUAUUGGUCAAUGGACGAGAGUCUGAACCAGCCAAGUAGCGUGAAGGAUGACUGCCCUAUGGGUUGUAAACUUCUUUUAUAAAGGAAUAAAAUGAGGCACGUGUGCCUUUUUGCAUGUACUUUAUGAAUAAGGAUCGGCUAACUCCGUGCCAGCAGCCGCGGUAAUACGGAGGAUCCGAGCGUUAUCCGGAUUUAUUGGGUUUAAAGGGAGCGUAGAUGGGUUGUUAAGUCAGUUGUGAAAGUUUGCGGCUCAACCGUAAAAUUGCAAUUGAUACUGGCAGUCGUGAGUACAGUAGAGGUAGGCGGAAUUCGUGGUGUAGGGGUGAAAUGCUUAGAUAUCACGAAGAACCCCGAUUGCGAAGGCAGCUUACUAAACUGUAACUGACAUUGAGGCUCGAAAGUGUGGGUAUCAAACAGGAUUAGAUACCCGUGUAGUC